UAAGCAUCUGGAACCACUUGAAUAACUAAAGACUGUUGUCUACCUGUUCUGUAACUGUUCCUUAAGAGAUGGGUACAGACAUGUAUUCCAUGACCCACCCUACAUCUCCCCUGCAUUAGAGUCUCUACUCUUGACAUUUAAUGCAGAGGAACUGAAGGAAGUCAGGGUGCCACCACCCUUAUAUAGCCACAAGAGAGCCUGAGGACCAGAGGGUGUGAGCCCUACCUCUACAGGUAUUGCUUGACAAAGUUCUCUAGCUUUGGGUGCGCUAGUCACAUGCACACCUGAGUGGAAUACACGUCUGCAUCCACAUCUCAAAGAACAACAGUUACAGUACAGGUGGGAAACCAUUUUUAAUGCAAGUUAGCUCAUUAACGGGGAGGUAUUUGUCUUGGAGGGAUUAUACAUUUCAUCCUUCCAGCCAAGGGAGGAACUCAGAGCAUGAAUGGAAAUAAAUUGUGAGCGGGGGGGAAAAAUCAACAGGCCUCAGAAUGACAAGUACAUGUGCUACAUGUCUAUGCUCUGACACCUGGAAAGCCCACCCCCGUUGUUUUAGAUCAACCUAAUUUUAAACCUUAGUUAUGACCCAGCUACUCACCACCCAUAUCCUAGAUCCAGGAAAUAAUUUUAUGUCGUUGGGCAUGCAGAUCCUCUGAUCAGCCAUUGUUCUAAUUCAAAAAUCCAUUACAAACUGGUAUAUGAAACUAAAUUAAUUUGACUCCAUGACCUACCAAUUUAUUUUUUUUAAAUCUAUGGACAGAGCUAAAAGUAACUUCUCCCGUUCACAGGCUCCAGUGCACAUAUUUUAUUUAAAAAAUUCUUAAUCAGUGUUCUGUUUACUUUUUAAUUCUUCUGUUGCUAAUGUUUAUCAGGGAAUAUUAGCUCUCCUCUGCUUUGACUACCUGAAGCUUCCACUCUCUUACACUGUACACAAUUUAUCAGGGGCAGUAUCUAUUGCUCACUAUGGGUUUAAGGCAAGUGAGAAUGUGAAUUCACUUCACAAGCAAAUUGCACACAGUCACAGGAUACACUCACCACUAGGGUGCCUCCUCCUGGAUGCUCUGGGGAUUAGCUCCUUCCAGGUCCGACACCUCCUCCUGUCACUUGUUCGUGCAGCCUGCCACCUCUGUCUCUGAGACUCAGGGAGCUCUCUCUUAGUGACUUGGCCCUCCAGGCGGAUCAUUGUAGUUCUCCCCUUCCCAAGUACCACAGUCCCACUGGACGAUUUUCCUAGGCAGUCUUCUGCUCCACUGCCAGGUCUGUGCUACUUUCCCAGUUGUUGGUAGGGGAACCAGGGCCUACCCACUACUCCAGGUUCCAGCCCAGGGACCCUACCUACAACCAGCAGCCAAGAUCUACACUGUCCCAAACCUUGCUACUGUUUCCCUGGGCUGCUUCCUACUUCACCUUUAUCAGGGUCUUUCUCCACCCUCCUCUGGGUACACCCUUUCCUCAGAGCCAGGAUCCCGGGGCUUCUAUUCUCUUCCUGGUUUCCUCCCUUCCCUCUCUAAUGCUAGAGAGUGACUGCAGGCCUCCAUACUGCAGCCCCUUAUGUUCUUAUCUUCCUACUUUUACUCCCCACCUAGGAGCUGGACCUGCUGCUGGCCGCUUCCGGGGUGCAGCGCACUCUGCGGUGCCAGGAUAGGCAGGAAGCCUGCAUUAGCACCCCUGCUGUGCCGCUGACCAGGAGCCACCCAAGGAGAAUAAACUUACAGUCUGAUUUUCAGAGGACAGAGUACAUGCAACUCCAGUUGAAGUCAAGUGAAGUUGCUGGUGCUCAGUAUCUUCAUUGCUUGUGCCGCGACAGCAAAAAUAUUAGUCUUCUCUUUCUGAUGUGGAUUUUUCCUGUCUACAGUAUUGAUGUCAGCCAUUGUGAACGUAGUGACUAAAUGUGGAAAACAUUUUUAUAGUAGUAUAGCAAACAAUAAACAUUCUGAGAUAAGGGCCCUUAUUGAAAUAUCUUUGAAUAUGUUGGACAUAUCUACUGAACCAUGAAUAUACAAACUAUAUACAUUGGUCCAAACACUGUGGUUGUUCUCACCCCAUGCAAUCCCAUUGACUUCAGCAAUGCAUUUGGCUCCAGAAGUUUACUUGUCUCUUAAGAUUUGAGAUCUAAUUUUUUUCCUGGUCUAUCCCUUGUUUUUAGUGAGCUUUGUCACAAAGGGCCCUGCAUAUCAAGCGGAACUGCCCCUGUUGGCCCAGUGUGGGGUUGGUACACGCUGUCACACAAUCGUCAGGCCUCCCUGUGGGAUUAGGGCUCAGGACCCCUGCAUGGCUGAGCAAACAAUCAGUUCUCAGCCCCUCAGCAAGGCAGAACAAAGCAAACAGUCUAUGGCUCCUGAGCCUCCUGGGUGGGGCAGACAAUAGCUGUUGGGGUUUCUGAUCCUCUGGGUAAGGCAGAACAAACAAAUAAUCAGUCUGUAGCUCCUGGGUGGGGCAGAGCAAGCAAACAGUAACCACACCAAGUGGCAAGGAUGGGGUUAGGAUAGGGGAACGCUACUCCAGCGGGUUCCAACCCAGGGCCCUAUGAAGCUGGUAAAUUCCUCAUUAAGGGUUUAAGCAUCAGCUUUUAUUACAUUCUCUGGUCACUUCCUACUGCAAGGUGCAUCAUGGGCAUCUCCUAGGCUGGCAGUGACUCAGCAUCCCAGUCAGGAUCCAUGGUCAGCUGGUCUUCCGCAAUGUAGUCUGGGUCCAUGGUUCCUACGGCUUGGAGAAUAGCAGGUGCCUCUGCGGGAGCUUGCAACACACGUCCUUCCUUCUCCUCAGCCAGCCCAGACUGAGCUGAACUGCCUCCUUUUAUCUGUCCCUUCCACCUGGAGCAUGCGCAGCAGGGGCAAGGGGGCAUGAUCUCCUGGACCCACAGAGAUUGGUUAGGCCCCCUUGGCCCAGUGUGGGGUUGGUACACCCUGUCACAAGCCUCAAUAUCUUGUGUUUCACAAUCUGGGAUGCCACUUGUUCAGGGAAAGCCCCUGGCGCGCCGGACUGGUUUGUUUACCUGCUGGGUCCGCAGGUUCAGCUGAUCGCAGCUCCCACUGGCCGCGGUUCGCCGCUCCAGGCCAAUAGGGGCUGUGGGAAGCAGCGGCCAGUAUCCCCUCGGCCUGCGCUACUUCCCCCAGCCCCCAUCGGCCUUCAGCGGCGAACCGCAGCCAGUGGGAGCCGUGAUAGGCCGAACCUGCAGACACGGCAGGUAAACAAAGUGGCCCGGCCUGCCAGGGACUUUCCCUGAACAAGCGGCGUCCCAAGUUUGGGAAACACUGGCCUAGUUAUACCAUUUGCACUCCCAUCUUCUCCUUCAUUCUACUCUUUUCAUUUCUCCAUGUCUUUGAGUUGCAAUAGAUUUUUCAACAUUCAUUACAACUAGCUGAAACAAGAAGACUGAUCCAGUUCCCAGUGAAGUCCAGAAUAUCAAAUGGGAGUUGGGUUGGAACCUAGAUAAACAGCAGAGAUUGUACCAAGUUCUACAUGUUCUUUCACUGUUACAUACCAAUUUAUAGUAUAAUAACUUUGCAAUAUGUUAUUAUUUGUAUUGUAUUCGAAGCUAGAAUGUCAGGGCUCCAUUGGUAUAGACACUGUAUAAUCAUAUAACAAUGUAGCUCACGAAAGCUUAUGCUCAAAUAAACUUGUUAGUCUCUAAGGUGCCA